GGUCCUACGGGGGGCAGCAGUGGGGAAUAUUGCACAAUGGGGGAAACCCUGAUGCAGCGACGCCGCGUGAAGGAAGAAGUAUUUCGGUAUGUAAACUUCUAUCAGCAGGGAAGAAAGUGACGGUACCUGACUAAGAAGCCCCGGCUAACUACGUGCCAGCAGCCGCGGUAAUACGUAGGGGGCAAGCGUUAUCCGGAUUUACUGGGUGUAAAGGGAGCGUAGGCGGCGAUGCAAGUCAGAAGUGAAAGCCCGGGGCUCAACCCCGGGACUGCUUUUGAAACUGU
rnacentral:rRNA from 1 species